rnacentral:rRNA from 1 species
GGAGUUUGGACCGUGUCUCAGUUCCAAUGUGGGGGACCUUCCUCUCAGAACCCCUAAGGAUCGUGGGCUCGGUGGGCCGUUACCCCGCCGACUACCUAAUCCUACGCAUCGCCAUCCCUUACCGAUAAAUCUUUCAUACUCUUCUGAUGCCAUCUAAAUAUAUAUCGGGCAUUAAUUCGGUUUUCACCGGGCUAUUCCCGAGUAAGGGGAAGGUUCGAUACGCGUUACGCACCCGUGCGCCGGUCGCCAUCGGAGUCAGCAAGCUGACCCCAUGCUGCCCCUCGACUUGCAUGUGUUAAGCCUGUAGCUAGCGUUCAUC